rnacentral:tRNA from 1 species
GCUCCUAUGGUGGAAUUGGCAGACACAGCAGAUUUAAGCUCUGCUACUUAUUAAGUGUGUGAGUUCGAGUCUCACUAGGAGUA